GGACUACUCGGGUUUCUAAUCCUGUUUGCUCCCCACGCUUUCGCGCUUUAGCGUCAGUAACAGGCCAAAAGGCCGCCUUCGCAACCGGUAUUCCUCUCGAGAUCUACGCAUUUUACCGCUACUCCGAGAAUUCUACCUUUCUCUCCUGUACUCUAGUUCGCCAGUUUCAUCUGCAGAUACCCAGUUAAGCUGAGUGAUUUAACAGUUGACUUAACAAACCGCCUGUACGCUCUUUACGCCCAGUUAUUCCGAAUAACGCUCGCACCCUUCGUAUUACCGCGGCUGCUGGCAC
rnacentral:rRNA from 1 species